CCUGUACAACAAAUAGAAUUUUAAAAGACAAAUCCAGUUUUCCAUCUAGUUUAUAAAACAAAACUCCGAAAAACAAUGUACAUAAUACUCAUUAAGUAAUACUUAUGCUCAGAUGUGAGCUUUAUUUCUCUCAACAUUUCAGGAAAAGAAUUUGAUUUGCUAACACAUGGUAAAUAAUUAAUAUCUUUUACAUAUAAAGGACAUUUACAAAUUAUCAGAAAGACAGAUAUCCCCCAAUAAAAUGUGAAAUGAAUAGGCAAAACAGUAAGAAAUAUAAAUGACCAAUGGGUACAUGAAAAUAAAAUGUUACUCUAUUAGUGCUCAAAGAAAUGUAAAUUAAAAUAAUGAGUUACAAUUUAUAAUCAUAUAAUUGUCAGACUGAAAAGAAUGGCAAUCACCAAUAUUGUAAGGAUGUGAGGAAACAGGCAUUCUCAAACAUUUGGUUCUCUUUCCAGGCUCAAUAACUUGGUAAUUGAUCUUUAGGUAUCCAUUUACCUACGUAUAGUAUACUUUUUAUAGGAUCCAAGUGUAUUUUAGAAUUCCUUGGAUCCCUAAAUUUCCAGCAUAGCUGUUAUUUAAUAAACUUUGGGGAUGGAUUUUUAUGGAAAAACCAUGGGAGUCUUUAGGAGACCAUCCAAAUUAACGACAGAAAUAGGGCCAGCUGUGGUGACUCAUGCAUAUAAUCCUAGCAACUAGGGAGGCUGAGGCAGGAGAACAGCAAGUUUGAGGCCAGCCUCACCAACCUAGUGAGGCCCUAAGCAACUUAGCAUGAUCCUAUCUCAAAAAUAAAAAGGGCUGGGAAUGUGGCUCAGUAGUUAAGUGCCCUUGAAUUCAAUCUGUAGCUAUUCACCCCCCCCCCCCAAAAAAAGGGAAAGUAUUUUGUUAAAAAAAAAAAUCUUCAGAGUCAUAAACUGGAUUUUGUAUGGAGAAUUUAUGGCUUUAGUAUGUGAUUAUGGUUUCAGUUGAUAAGAUUCUCUCCUUAGCAUCUUAACAUGUUUCCUACCUAUUUUACAAGUGUUUGAGUAGAGAAGUUGCUUUAUGUUUUUCUCUGUACCCUUCCUAAACAAAUGUAAUUUUUUUUUCUUAGUGAAAAUGAUUGUUGGAAGGAGACCCUCAGAGUUAUACAAAAGUACAUACAAGAGGAAGUGAGG
rnacentral:lncRNA from 1 species